rnacentral:rRNA from 1 species
ACGCUCGACACCUACGAGGCAGCAGUUGGGAAUAUUGGACAAUGGAGGAAACUCUGAUCCAGUGACGCCGCGUGAAGGAAGAAGGUCUUCGGAUUGUAAACUUAUUUUGUCAGGGAAGAAAAAAUGACUGUACCUGAAGAAAAAGCACCGGCUAACUACGUGCAAGCAGCCGCGGUAAUCUGAGCGGGCUGGCAAGGC